UAUUUUAUUUUAGUAUGAUAUUUUAUUUUGUAAAUAUUUUAUAUGAAAAGUAAUUUGUGAAUAAAUUUAAUUUUAAAAAUAAAAUUUUAAUUAUAAUUUCAGUAAAUAAAUUUAAAAAAUAAAGAAAUUUAGAUUUAGUAAUUUAUUUAAAUUUUAGUAAAAUUUGUGCCAGCAACUGCGGUUAUACAUAUAAAGUAAAUAAAAGAAAUUUGCUAAUAAUAAAUAGUUUAUACAUAUUUAUUUUAAAAAUUAAUUUAUUAAGUGAAAUUUUUAAAUUAAUAUUAUAAUAAUUUAUUAAUUAUAUUUAGUUAAUUAAAUUUUUAAAAAGACUAGGAUUAGAUACCCUAUUAUUGAAAAAAUAAAUUUUUAUAGUAGAAUAAUAUUAGUUAUAUUCUUUAAACUUAAAAAAUUUGGCGGUAUUUUAAUUUUUUCAGAGGAAUUUGUUCUAUAAUUGAUAGUCCCCAUUAACAUGUACUUAAUUUAAUUAAAUUUAUAUAUCGCUGUUAUUGAAUAUGUUUAGAAAUAUAAAUUUUCAAUAAAUAUAAUUUUAUUUAAUAUCAAGUCAAGGUAUAGUUUAUAAUUAAGCAGUAAUGAAUUACAAUAAUAAUUAAUUAAAUGAAUAAAUAAAAUUAUUUUAUUUUGAAGGUGGAUUUGAUAGUAAAUUAAUUUAUAAAAUUUAGUUGAUAAUAACUCUAAAAUAUGCACAUAUUGCCCGUCGCUCUCAUUAUAAAAUUAGAUAAGUCGUAACAAAGUAAAAAUAUUGGAAAAUGUUUUUAGAAUA
rnacentral:ncRNA from 1 species